rnacentral:lncRNA from 1 species
AAAAAUGGGAGUAAAAUAUUUAUUUAUAUAAGCCCUCACAUUAAGUAUUCGUACACAGCUACAUAUAUACAUUGAGGUUUCAAAGUAUAGUCAUUGUCAAUUUUUUUAAAUUUCUAAUUUCAAAAUUGUUUUCUUCCCAUUUUAUUCGUGUUCUUAUAGGUUGGAAAAGAGGAAAAAAGAGAAAUAUUGGUAGAAAAAGAGGAAAUUCCUUAAUGACUUCAACUUCAAAACUUAGGGGAGGUUUUAGCACCUUGAUGGGAUCCUGAAAGGCUUCAAGAAGAUGGUGAUAGGAUCUGCAACAUUUUCUGCUCAAAAAGUGUGGCUUUUGAGAACCCAACAUCACCUCCAUCCCACAAUGAAGCAUUAGAGUCAGACUUGAAGGAGAGUAUUUAUAUCUGACAUCAGUAUCUAGAAUACAACUGUCACAAGAGAAUUAAAAAGUAUUAUACAAAGUAUGAUGGAGUCUCACAUGGUGACUGUGAACAUGUGGUAAUAGGGGACUAAUUGAGGAACUCUAAAAAACUGCAUAGAAGAUGGAAUCAAAGAGUUUUAUGCCAAGAGCAGAAGAUGGGCUGAUCAGAUGGCAAGGUUGAAGACUAACAGAGAGACAACCCUACUGGUAACUUGAAGUGUCAGGAAAAAUAAAGUAAGUCUUCUAAUAUGUUGAAUUAAAAUC